UACGGAGGGGGCUAGCGUUGUUCGGAAUUACUGGGCGUAAAGCGCACGUAGGCGGCUUUGUAAGUUAGAGGUGAAAGCCCGGGGCUCAACCCCGGAAUUGCCUUUAAGACUGCAUCGCUAGAAUUGUGGAGAGGUAAGUGGAAUUCCGAGUGUAGAGGUGAAAUUCGUAGAUAUUCGGAAGAACACCAGUGGCGAAGGCGGCUUCCUGGCCUGUUCUUGACGCUGAGGCGCGAAAGCUAGGGGAGCAAACGGG
rnacentral:rRNA from 1 species